AGUGAACGCUGGCGGCGUGCCUAAUAUAUGCAAGUCGAACGAAGCGGCGCACGGGUGAGUAAUAUAUAGUUAAUCUGCCCUACACAGAGGAACCACAGUUGGAAACGACCGCUAAUACCUCAUAGUGUAGUCUGAGACUAUAUCGUAUCAGCUAGUUGGUAAGGUAAUGGCUUACCAAGGCUACGACGCGUAACUCGUCUGAGAGGAUGAUAAGUCACGUUGGAACUGAGACACAGUCGAAGCACCUUCGGGAGGCAGCAGUAAGGAAUAUUGCGCAAUGGGGGAGGCCCUAACGCAGCAACGCCGCGUGGAGGAAAAAACUUUUCGAAGCAUAAACUGCAAUUAGCAGGAAAGCGGUACCAGAUGAAUAAGCACCGGCUAACUCCGUGCCAGCCGCCGCGGUAAUAC
rnacentral:rRNA from 1 species